UGGGUCUCGCUCGUUACCUGACUUAACAGGAUGCUUCACAGUACGAACUGACGACGGCCAUGCACCACCUCUCAGCUAAUCCGGCAAAGUCUUCAGCCUGGCCUUCAUAUUGCUGUCGGUCCCGGUAAGAUUUCCGGCGUUGAAUCCAAUUAAACCGCAAGCUCCACCCGUUGUGGUGCUCCCCCGCCAAUUCCUUUAAGUUUCAGCCUUGCGGCCGUACUUCCCAGGUGGCUCGCUUCACGGCUUCCCUACGGCACCGACAACGGUCGCACCGUGGCCGACACCUAGCGAGUAUCGUUUACGGCUAGGACUACCCGGGUAUCUAAUCCGGUUCGUGCCCCUAGCUUUCGUCCCUUGCCGUCAGGUCCGUUCUGGUGAGACGCCUUCGCCACUGGUGGUCCUUCAAGGAUUACAAGAUUUCACCCCUACCCCUGAAGUACCUCUCACCUCUCCCGGCCUCGAGCCAGACAGUAUCUCCUGAAAGCCUGACAGUUAAGCUGCCAGAUUUCUCAAGAGACUUAUCCGGCCGGCUACAGACCCUUUAGACCCAAUAAUAACGGUUACCACUCGAGCCGCCGGUGUUACCGCGGCGGCUGGCACCGGUCUUGCCCGGCCCUUGCUAUGAAAUGCUUUUUAGGCAUCUCGACAGCCAGAUUUGUAACCUGGCACUCGAGGUUCCCUUAUCGCUGUUGCCAGCAUUGUAAAGUUUUCGCGCCUGCUGCACCCCGUAGGGCCUGGAUUCGUGUCUCAGAAUCCAUCUCCGGGCUCUUGCUCUCACAACCCG
rnacentral:rRNA from 1 species